rnacentral:lncRNA from 1 species
UCAUAGUAUGCCGAGCACGCUAAUUGCAUGUACAACACUUGGGAAGAUAGUCAUACUCUACAGUGACGAUGACCUACGACAAUAUACUAACAUUCACUCAUGAUUUAUUCCAAUGUUAAAUGUAAUGACUGUUGUCUGUAGCAGCAAACCUGAUCAUUCAUAGUAUGCCGAGCACGCUAAUUGCAUGUACAACACUUGGGAAGAUAGUCAUACUCUACAGUGACGAUGACCUACGACAAUAUACUAACAUUCACUCAUGAUUUAUUCCAAUGUUAAAUGUAAUGACUGUUGUCUGUAGCAGCAACCCUGAUCAUUCAUAGUAUGCCGAGCACGCUAAUUGCAUGUACAACACUUGGGAAGAUAGUCAUACUCUACAGUGACGAUGACCUACGGCAAUAUACUAACAUUCACUCAUGAUUUAUUCCAAUGUUAAAUGUAAUGACUGUUGUCUGUAGCAGCAACCCUGAUCAUUCAUAGUAUGCCGAGCACGCUAAUUGCAUGUACAACACUUGGGAAGAUAGUCAUACUCUACAGUGACGAUGACCUACGACAAUAUACUAACAUUCACUCAUGAUUUAUUCCAAUGUUAAAUGUAAUGACUGUUGUCUGUAGCAGCAACCCUGAUCAUUCAUAGUAUGCCGAGCACGCUAAUUGCAUGUACAACACUUGGGAAGAUAGUCAUACUCUACAGUGACGAUGACCUACGGCAAUAUACUAACAUUCACUCAUGAUUUAUUCCAAUGUUAAAUGUAAUGACUGUUGUCUGUAGCAGCAACACUGAUCAUUCAUAGUAUGCCGAGCACGCUAAUUGCAUGUACAACACUUGGGAAGAUAGUCAUACUCUACAGUGACGAUGACCUACGGCAAUAUACUAACAUUCACUCAUGAUUUAUUCCAAUGUUAAAUGUAAUGACUGUUGUCUGUAGCAGCAACACUGAUCAUUCAUAGUAUGCCGAGCACGCUAAUUGCAUGUACAACACUUGGGAAGAUAGUCAUACUCUACAGUGACGAUGACCUACGACAAUAUACUAACAUUCACUCAUGAUUUAUUCCAAUGUUAAAUGUAAUGACUGUUGUCUGUAGCAGCAACACUGAUCAUUCAUAGUAUGCCGAGCACGCUAAUUGCAUGUACAACACUUGGGAAGAUAGUCAUACUCUACAGUGACGAUGACCUACGACAAUAUACUAACAUUCACUCAUGAUUUAUUCCAAUGUUAAAUGUAAUGACUGUUGUCUGUAGCAGCAACACUGAUCAUUCAUAGUAUGCCGAGCACGCUAAUUGCAUGUACAACACUUGGGAAGAUAGUCAUACUCUACAGUGACGAUGACCUACGGCAAUAUACUAACAUUCACUCAUGAUUUAUUCCAAUGUUAAAUGUAAUGACUGUUGUCUGUAGCAGCAACACUGAUCAUUCAUAGUAUGCCGAGCACGCUAAUUGCAUGUACAACACUUGGGAAGAUAGUCAUACUCUACAGUGACGAUGACCUACGACAAUAUACUAACAUUCACUCAUGAUUUAUUCCAAUGUUAAAUGUAAUGACUGUUGUCUGUAGCAGCAACACUGAUCAUUCAUAGUAUGCCGAGCACGCUAAUUGCAUGUACAACACUUGGGAAGAUAGUCAUACUCUACAGUGACGAUGACCUACGGCAAUAUACUAACAUUCACUCAUGAUUUAUUCCAAUGUUAAAUGUAAUGACUGUUGUCUGUAGCAGCAACCCUGAUCAUUCAUAGUAUGCCGAGCACGCUAAUUGCAUGUACAACACUUGGGAAGAUAGUCAUACUCUACAGUGACGAUGACCUACGACAAUAUACUAACAUUCACUCAUGAUUUAUUCCAAUGUUAAAUGUAAUGACUGUUGUCUGUAGCAGCAACACUGAUCAUUCAUAGUAUGCCGAGCACGCUAAUUGCAUGUACAACACUUGGGAAGAUAGUCAUACUCUACAGUGACGAUGACCUACGACAAUAUACUAACAUUCACUCAUGAUUUAUUCCAAUGUUAAAUGUAAUGACUGUUGUCUGUAGCAGCAACACUGAUCAUUCAUAGUAUGCCGAGCACGCUAAUUGCAUGUACAACACUUGGGAAGAUAGUCAUACUCUACAGUGACGAUGACCUACGACAAUAUACUAACAUUCACUCAUGAUUUAUUCCAAUGUUAAAUGUAAUGACUGUUGUCUGUAGCAGCAACACUGAUCAUUCAUAGUAUGCCGAGCACGCUAAUUGCAUGUACAACACUUGGGAAGAUAGUCAUACUCUACAGUGACGAUGACCUACGACAAUAUACUAACAUUCACUCAUGAUUUAUUCCAAUGUUAAAUGUAAUGACUGUUGUCUGUAGCAGCAACACUGAUCAUUCAUAGUAUGCCGAGCACGCUAAUUGCAUGUACAACACUUGGGAAGAUAGUCAUACUCUACAGUGACGAUGACCUACGACAAUAUACUAACAUUCACUCAUGAUUUAUUCCAAUGUUAAAUGUAAUGACUGUUGUCUGUAGCAGCAACACUGAUCAUUCAUAGUAUGCCGAGCACGCUAAUUGCAUGUACAACACUUGGGAAGAUAGUCAUACUCUACAGUGACGAUGACCUACGACAAUAUACUAACAUUCACUCAUGAUUUAUUCCAAUGUUAAAUGUAAUGACUGUUGUCUGUAGCAGCAACACUGAUCAUUCAUAGUAUGCCGAGCACGCUAAUUGCAUGUACAACACUUGGGAAGAUAGUCAUACUCUACAGUGACGAUGACCUACGACAAUAUACUAACAUUCACUCAUGAUUUAUUCCAAUGUUAAAUGUAAUGACUGUUGUCUGUAGCAGCAACACUGAUCAUUCAUAGUAUGCCGAGCACGCUAAUUGCAUGUACAACACUUGGGAAGAUAGUCAUACUCUACAGUGACGAUGACCUACGACAAUAUACUAACAUUCACUCAUGAUUUAUUCCAAUGUUAAAUGUAAUGACUGUUGUCUGUAGCAGCAACACUGAUCAUUCAUAGUAUGCCGAGCACGCUAAUUGCAUGUACAACACUUGGGUAGAUAGUCAUACUCUACAGUGACGAUGACCUACGACAAUAUACUAACAUUCACUCAUGAUUUAUUCCAAUGUUAAAUGUAAUGACUGUUGUCUGUAAGUUGACGGUACUAUCAUAAAUUAAAUUUUACAAAUACUAAAGAAUGUUCAUAAAACUCCAUUGCCAUGUAAUUUUCCAUCAUAGGAAUUGAUCUUAGCUAUUUAAAUAUUUUAAAAUUCACUAUUAAUUACAUUUAGUGUCUAUCAUUGAAGGUUAAAGUGGCUCGGAUACUGUAUUUAAAUUGAUAUAUUUUCAUAUUUUUUUAAUGUACUCAGUGUAAAUCCUAUUUAAGGAAUAGACUCUUCUAUAAUAUGUUGUAAUUACGAUUAGAUCAGAAUUUUGUAUGUUAAGUGGUUAUUUCAUUCUAUAGCCAUUAGCUGCUGUUUAAAAUAUUUGUACUUUUGUAUUCCGUCAGUUGCUCUUGACAAUAAACGAAUCCUACACUUAUAUUUGCAAUAUAUACUAAUGUCUUAUCAAAAUUAUUUCUCCUUAUCACAUAUUAUUAGUUUAUGUUAUUCAAAAGUGUUUGAACAUUGUAGUAUUUUUUUUUAUAAUAGUCUCAUGCCCGUCAAUUGAAUACUAUCUGAAAUUUUGUGAUGUUUAGAAUGUAAUUUGCCUAAUAAUUCAGGUUUGUUUGUACCCAUCUAUGAAUUUUUAAGUGUUGUCUUCGGAACGA